rnacentral:sRNA from 1 species
UCCGCAAACACUUUGCCGGCCUCGAGGA